AGCAGUUCACGAGGCUCAGGACGAUCUAUUGAGUCACACAAGCACGUAACUGCUCUGACCUGGAAGGCAGAAGCGUUUCUCGGUGGAAGCUCUCGGUUUUACAUUUUAUAACAAAGAUGUAGUUUGGCUUCGUUUUUGAUAUACUGCCGUCGGUGCCUAUCGCCUAAACGGAAGGUGAUUCAUCACAGUAGUGAGGAAUCCAACAGCCGGUUCCACUGGGGACUGGAGCGCAGUACCCAGACCUAAUCAAACAGUCACCUCAGGAGUUAGUGACUUACUCCGGGUCAAAUCCUGCAGGAGCCAUUUCUCCUGUGUCACCUCCUCGAGCAGGAGGAGGAGGAGGAGACCGUCUCGCUCUCUCUCCAGCUGCACAGUAAAAAGGGGAGUUCAUGGGCCCACUCUCCUUAAAGUAAUCGAUACAUAAAUAAAACAUCUCGGACGUGACAAAUGAACGGAGGCACCACCGGGUUUUCGUCUGUGUCUCGAAGGCCGUUUUGAGAACAGCAAUGCAUCCGCUUGCAGGGCGAGCGUGCCGUACGUGACUCUGAGCAGGCUAGUUGGUCGGGAUGCAUGCCGAGUGGUAAAUCAGUGAACAUGUGAUUACUGUCACGAAUAUCCAAAUGGUUUAAUGCAGCAUAACCAACGCGCAUUUGUUUGUUUUUUUAAUGCAAUCAAAUGAUGAGGUGCACAAUUACAAUCUCAAAGUGGGUCAGUGUUUCCAAUUUCAUCCCAGUAAUGAUACCAAUUAAAUAUUUGUAAAUAGCACGAGUCAGGCUUGGCGGUCAGUAAUAGAUGCUGCUUUUCACGUGCUGCAGGAGUGAAUGUAGCCGCGCCACUGCUCCACUAAGAGCUCUUCUCCCGGAUCAAUGGGCUUCCAGAUUUAAACAUGGUGUAAGCCAACAGAUCGAUAGACCCCGAGUUCUCGACUGGUACGGAGAAAUAAUGUCACACGCAGUUCUUCCAUUUCCAUCCAGCGAGAUGGAGAGAAAGAGGCUGGAGAUGUGGAAAGUGAGCAGAGCCGGGAGGAUUUAAAAGAAUCUAUCUAUACGGUGCAGAAUCAGAGGUAUGUGAGAAAAGAUAAAGGGCGACGAGAGAAAUGACAACAACAGACCGAGAGCUACUGGAGAAAGGAAAAGAAAAAAAAGCCUGGCAGCUAGUCCAUCAGCAGGCUGAUUUAUCUGUUUGUUCACAGCUUCCAUCACAGAGCAGGACACCCUGCCGGUUUGGAUCUGUCACUUGUGGGAGUCCCCACACUACCUCUCUAACCUGUGAGGAAUUCCCAACGUACCAUGUCUCCAUUUCAGUCCACGAUCGAAUUCAGGCCGAGACCAGCCUUCUGCGAAGUCGGUCAAAAGAUCUGAAGCGUCGUUGUACUUGAAGCCAGGAGCAAAAGACAGCACGACAGGACGGCUGCUGCUCUCUGCAAGGCUGGAAGUCGAGCUGCCAGGCCCGGUGACACGCAGACGCGUUGACAGCCCUCCACGUUUGGGAACGGAAGGGGAAGGGAAUUUAUUAAGUUCAGGUGCGCAGGAUGAGAGAGUGAAGACUGGAGGAUGAUAAAAGGCUUGUGAUAGAACACAAGCCGCUGGGUUUAAAGCGAAGGCAGGUCGACACUCAGGCAGCGUCCACAUGGUCAGUGUGUCUGCUGCUGGGUCUAAUGAGCACCUUCCUGCAAGGCACUGAGGCGGCUGUGCAUGACGACCCUGACAUAGCUCAUGUAAAUCACCGCCACUGGGGCUGACUGACAGGUGUACUGAAUACACCAGCAUCCCCUUAGAAAUAAAAGCUAAUUAAGAAAGAUUUGCCUGCUUUGACAGGAUGCAGCCUGCCUCUGUGUCAGUCACAGAACCGUGUGUAACACCUGGGUGAAAGGCUGAACUUGUCGGUGUAUGCGCCGCCGAUGACGGGAGCCAAACAAAGCCGGCCAAACAUCUCCAACAUCCCAUUCUUUGCCUUUUCCACUCAGCCCUUUGUCUUCCUCGCACCGUUUGAUCAAAAACGCGAGCUCGUCUAGCAAACGCAGAACGUAAAUCUAAUUCGACUGAAAACAGAAGCUUCUUGGUUACCUUGUCUUCGCUCCAAAGCUCAUCCACACGUGGGGGACAAAGGGAAUCCCGACGCCUGCUGCGCGCUGUGCUCGGACCGGAGAGAGAGAGCUGCUGUCACCGCAUCAACAACAACCUCUUUUAUUCCGUAUCCGCGCGUAUCUUCCCCUCCAUCCUCUGCUGGGAUGCGUUUACUCCACACAGCUGUAAUCCAACACUCCUCAGUCCUGGUUUCUUUUUUUUUUCCUUUUUAUUUUCUUUAUGUAUAUAUUUUAGUUUUUGUGUUUGGUUUUUUUUUUUUAUGAGGGGGGGUAUUCACAUGAUCAGAGGUUUUCUCGCUUGUCUACUUGUCUACUCCUAGAUUUAAAACACAACUGGACCAGAAGUGCCGCGUAAAAGAGGCUGAAUCCUGUUUGUCCCGGUUGCACUCCGCGUCCGCUUCACCGCAGGCUUCCUCCCAGGAGCGAGGUGCUCGUGCUCACAGGGUUCUCUGAGGGCUCUCUGCUACCAAAUCUAUCAACUCGGUGUUUCCCUCUCCGACCAUCCCUCCUCCUCCUCCUCCUCCUCCUCCUCCCCCCUGACAGACGAGGAGUGUGGACCAAUUGAGAGGCAGAGAGAGAGGGAGAGAGAGAGAGAGAGAGAGAGAGAGAGAGAGAGAGGAUCAGAGCGUCUGUGUGGAGCGGGACCAGAGAUCUGUCUGAGAGGGACUGAGCAGCGUUCAGCAGCCUGGAGCCUCAGUGAGACCAUCACCAAACAUUUACUCUCAUUAAAGCUGCCAGGGAAGAAGGGGGGUUCGGUAAUAUAAUAUAUCUUUACGAUUUGCUAAAUUAAAUCUGAAUAUUGUAGAUAUAGGACAUUUACAUAAUUGUGAACUACACAGCAGAAGACAAAGAUGUAUUUUAGUAAAUGAAAAUAAAUGAAUACUUUUAAUCAAUCGAGACUUGCCAUCAUCUGAGUUUGAUUGCACACAAUAUAAUAAACAACUAAAAUAUUGUGUAAAGUUCGAGAGUGAGAUAAGA